CAGUCGCCGCGGUAAUACGAAGGGGGCUAGCGUUGCUCGGAAUUACUGGGCGUAAAGCGUGCGUAGGUGGUGGUUUAAGUCCGUUGUGAAAGCCCUGGGCUCAACCUGGGAAUUGCAGUGGAUACUGGGUCACUAGAGUGUGGUAGAGGAUAGUGGAAUUUCCGGUGUAGCAGUGAAAUGCGUAGAGAUCGGAAGGAACAUCUGUGGCGAAGGCGACUAUCUGGGCCAACACUGACACUGAGGCACGAAAGCGUGGGGAGCAAACAGGAUUAGAUACCCCCGUAGUCCCUGUCUCUUAUAU
rnacentral:rRNA from 1 species